rnacentral:lncRNA from 1 species
AUUUUGCCUUUCUACUUUUAUCAGUCAUGGAGAAGUCAUUGUUCAUGUGGGUAUAGUUCUGUGAAAAAAGUAUUAUGCUUUUACAAAUUGAUAUUGAUGGCUAGCCUAUAUUUUACAAUGACAUUUUUAGGUAAGGAGAAAGCGCCAUUUAAAUAAUGGUGAAAUUUAUGAAUUUACAGAUAGAAAAUAAAAAGACACACAUUAAAAUAGUAGUGUCUGAGCAAAUCCAGUCACCAUCUUUGAGAUACGUAAAAAACCAAUAAUAGGAAUGUGCUAUAUAAAAAGUGAAGGCAGUAGACAGAAAUUCUCAACAGCUUGUGCAAACAAAUUGGUUACUUACAUUAAAAACAGAUUUUUAAUUAUCCUUUAUGUAGUACUAAAGUAGAUUUUUGUAACUGGCUUUUGAAGCAUUGUGAAUAUAAGCAUCAUUUCUAAAGACCUGAAAAUAUUUAAAUAUAUUUUAUUGUAAAAUUACUAAUACCAAACUUAAAACUGUGAGACUAUAAAAGUUCUUAAUAUCAUAGAAUGAUUUACUUUUUAAACCAGUGAACUAGGAAAUGAUGGUCAGCUUCCACUAAGGUAGCUAUCUGUCGUAGCAAGUGAGCAUAGAUGACAUACGUAGAUGUGUUAUUAAACUGAGGAUUCUGAAAAAGAUAUUAAAGAUAAUUGUGUUAAAAUUCUGUUAACACGUAAAAGGAAAGACACUAAGCUUAAUAAGUACGUGGUAAAUUCAGGAAACAAAAUUUGAGAUUAUAAAAUAACAAUAACCUAUUUGUUAUUUAAUUAACAGAGACUUUCAUUUACACUGCGGCUAUACAGUGAAAAGAGCAUGGGCUUUGGAGUUAAGACAGAUCUGGGUCUGAGGGCUAAUUCUACCACUUACUAGCUAUAUGCCCUUAGGCAUGUUCCUUACACUUUGAUUCUCAAUGUCCUUAUCUGUAAAAUGGGAAUGAUAUUCUCUAUCUUAAGGGUUGUUUUGAGUAUCGAAAAAGAAAAUGUAUAUAAAGCACCUUCAUAAAAAGUGCCUUCAUAAAUGGUACCAAUCACUAUCAUCCAAUUAAAAGCAAAAAACCUGGGUGUUCCUUGAUUAAAAGCUAGAAAAACGAAGUAAAAGCUGGUUGUGAAACUUUUGCCAUUGUAAAAUGAGUUAGCCUCAUAUAUCACAAAGAACAAGGGGAGAAACACAUACAGCUUCUGACAACUUUUAAAUGAUAAAGGGACGCUGAAGGAAUACUUGUAAACUAAGAAAAGCCUUUAGUUAAUGUUUCCAAAAUAUAAAAUUCUAGCACAAUGUACAUUUCAGCACAUCAUGGAAAAAAUAAAUAUUAUUGAAAAAAACCUCCUGAAAUUGUGAAAAAUAAGAGAGCACCAUGUGUUUUUCAAAACUGACUUAUUGACAGAACAACUCAAAAUCUGGGACUGACCUCAGCUGAUAACUUCAUCUGGUAAUGGCUCUUGAGAAGAACAAAAUAUGAGCAGAGCUUAUGGCUGACCAAUAUACUCACCUAAAAUCUGAGCUUCGUGUCAUCUUUCUAGCUUUUACUAUCUCUACAUAUGUUUAUUCUUGAGUUUUGGCUCUUUCUCCUCUUACUUCUCUAUUUUCCCUCCUUACAUUUCUCUUCUUAACUACCUCUUGGUCAUUUUCCCCCCUUUUCCACUUUUUCCUCUUUCCUCACUUUCUCUAUCCCUACCCUGUAUAUGUUCUUUCAUUAGACAUAUUGAUAUUAUAAUAUCAUAAUAUUGUACUAAACACUAUACUUAUUUAAUAUAGUUUUCCUUACUUUUAAAUGAGAUAAUAU